rnacentral:rRNA from 1 species
UUGAACGCUGGCGGAAUGCUUUACACAUGCAAGUCGAACGGCAGCACGGACUUCGGUCUGGUGGCGAGUGGCGAACGGGUGAGUAACAUAUCGGAACGUAUCCAAUAAUGGGGGAUAACUAAUCGAAAGGUUGGCUAAUACCGCAUACGCCCUACGGGGGAAAGCUAGGGACCUUCGGGCCUGGCGUUAAUGGAGCGGCCGAUAUCUGAUUAGCUAGUUGGUGGGGUAAAGGCCCACCAAGGCGACGAUCAGUAGCUGGUCUGAGAGGACGACCAGCCACACUGGAACUGAGACACGGUCCAGACUCCUACGGGAGGCAGCAGUGGGGAAUUUUGGACAAUGGGCGCAAGCCUGAUCCAGCCACUCCGCGUGAGUGAAGAAGGCCUUCGGGUUGUAAAGCUCUUUCGCAAGGGAAGAAAACUUAGAUACUAAUAUUAUCUGAGGUUGACGGUACCUUGAUAAGAAGCACCGGCUAACUACGUGCCAGCAGCCGCGGUAAUACGUAGGGUGCGAGCGUUAAUCGGAAUUACUGGGCGUAAAGCGUGCGCAGGCGGUUUUGUAAGUCAGAUGUGAAAUCCCCGAGCUCAACUUGGGAACUGCGUUUGAAACUACAAGACUAGAAUAUGUCAGAGGGGGGUAGAAUUCCACGUGUAGCAGUGAAAUGCGUAGAGAUGUGGAGGAAUACCAAUGGCGAAGGCAGCCCCCUGGGAUAAUAUUGACGCUCAUGCACGAAAGCGUGGGGAGCAAACAGGAUUAGAUACCCUGGUAGUCCACGCCCUAAACGAUGUCUACUAGUUGUUGGUGGAGUAAA